rnacentral:rRNA from 1 species
CGCGGCCUAUCAGCUUGUUGGUGAGGUAAAGGCUCACCAAGGCGACGACGGGUAGCCGGCCUGAGAGGGUGACCGGCCACACUGGGACUGAGACACGGUCCAGACUCCUACGGGAGGCAGCAGUGGGGAAUAUCGCACAAUGGGCGCAAGCCUGAUGCAGCAACGCCGCGUGAGGGAUGAAGGCCUUCGGGUUGUAAACCUCUUUUAGCAGGGAAGAAGCGAAAGUGACGGUACCUGCAGAAAAAGCACCGGCUAACUACGUACCAGCAGCCGCGGUAAUACGUAGGGUGCAAGCGUUGUCCGGAAUUAUUGGGCGUAAAGAGCUCGUAGGCGGUUUGUCGCGUCUGCUGUGAAAACUGGAAGCUCAACUUCCAGCCUGCAGUGGGUACGGGCAGACUAGAGUGCGGUAGGGGAGAACGGAAUUCCUGGUGUAGCGGUGGAAUGCGCAGAUAUCAGGAGGAACACCGAUGGCGAAGGCAGUUCUCUGGGCCGUUACUGACGCUGAGGAGCGAAAGCGUGGGGAGCGAACAGGAUUAGAUACCCUGGUAGUCCACGCCGUAAACGGUGGGUGCUAGCUGUGGGCCACAUUCCACGUGGUCCGUGACGAAGUUAACACAUUAAGCACCCCGCCUGGGGAGUACGG